rnacentral:miRNA from 1 species
CCUUCCAAACAGUAAAAACAAACAAACAAACUGUAGACCAAAUUUGUCAUUGUUGUUUCGAUUUGCUCUUUUUGUUUGUUUGCUUUUGUGUUUUGAGACAGGGUCUGGCUUGUAUAGCUCAUGC